CAUUUAUCAAAGGCGUUACUCUUGAGCGAUUAAAGAUGGAAAAAUGUUUUCACAGGUAUCACUCAUUCUUAUUUUGGUUGAUUCAGAGUAGGGUUAAAAUUGAUUCGUCUUCCUAUGGAUAAAUUGUUCGAUUCUUCUACCUUAAAUUCUUCAUUCAACUAUAAACCGAGAACUAAGAAAAACCCUUAGAAUCAACUGUUCAAUAUAAACUACAGGCUCUAUUCGUUUUUGAUUUGCUGAUUGAAACAUCAGCGAUUGAAGAAAUGAAUUAUAAUUCUACCUCUUUUUUGUGAAGAACAAGCUGGGAUUUUAAGGUUUAAUUGUGAUGGUGGACAUUAAGAAUUUAAAGAGUGAAGGAAGGAGGUUACAUGAAUCCUAAUACAGUUGUUGUACUUCAUUUAGCUCUUAACCUUGCCAGAACAGAAGAACCCAGAUGAAGGGCUAUUGAUAUCUUUGUGGUUAUCCUGGGGAUUUGUGGAUUUGCUGGAAAGGGCUACGGUGUCGUUGCAUAUGAUCAGGUAUUUGUCUCCAAAUGAGGCUGACAAAAUGUUAGAUAUAGGAUUUGAGCCACAAAUCAGAAAGAUUGUUGAGAAAAUGUACAUGUCUCCACGAGAUGCAAGGAAGACCAUGUUAUUUCGUGCCACCUUUCCAAGAGAGAUACAGGUCAGCAUAUGUGGUUAUUAAGUUCCCUUAUUAUUCUGCUUUUGGCGUCACUUUGAGCUAGAAACAUUUUGAACCUUGAGGUGAACAGCGCAGACGACCAUGGAAAGUGGCAGGAAGUUCAGUUCGUAGUCUAUCAUAUUAUUAACAAUGCUAUAGGAGAACCCCCUCCAUUGUGCACUGUAUGCACUUCAUUUCUUAUUGCAAGUACAUCUAACCCUAAUUUGCGAAUUUGGUAUAAAUAAUGAUGCAACUUCGAUUUCUAUUAUAUUGUAAAUUUAGGCAUUAUGAGACAUAGGAUAACAAGUGUUUUUUUUUCCCCUGCA